AUCUGAUGGGCAUGCUGCGUUUCUCUAACCCUAGCUACAGAAGAACUUCGCUGGCCUAUAAAUUCCACGCAAAGGACCACCAGAUCAUCACAUUAAGCGCAGACACUUCCUCAUCGCAUAAACUGGGUCAAGCAACUGAAUCCAACCAUGAAGGCAGUAUUUGCGCUCUUCCUUGUCCUCGUGCUGAUCAUGGCAGCUCUACAAGCGGAUGCAAAGCCCAUGAAUCUGCAGGGGCGUCGUCUCGCUGAUGUGAGCAUGGGCCGCAAAGCUAUUGCUGGCAGUAACGAUGCUACCAUUUCUUCUACUUCCGCCGCUACUACUACUUCAAGCAAGACCACCGAUCCCACGAGCACCACUAGUACUUCUUCUACUCCUACCACUGCUACUACUACAGGCAACACUGAGGCUAAAACAGGGCCCCAGCGGGAGAAGAACGAUGGAUACAACAACUACUCAAGCGGUCCGGCCAGCUCUGACAACGAUAGCUCUCACCAUUUGGUCACAGGCCCCUGAACUGUUCGGCUGGGAGGUGGGGAUGGUUAGUCUAUGUAAAUUAUAGAUCUUAUGACAGGCACAAGUUGAUUUCCACCGGAAAGUUGAAAUGAUCAGCUUUUUUGUGUUCCCUUAUGGUGUCUCUCCUGUGUGAUUUAUGUGCGAUGCAACAUAUAUGUCGUGAUCAUAGCCCUUAGGCCAUACCCGCUAUGUGGUUUGUGUUCUACAAGAUAUGGAAAUAACGAAACCUGGCCGUAGCUUGGUUUUAUGUGAUUAUAGAA